CUACUACUCCCUCCGUCCAAAAAUACUUGUCAUUGAAAUGGAUGUAUCUAGAUGUAUUUUAGUUCUAGACACAUCCAUUUUUAUGACAAGUAAUUCCGGACGGAGGUAGUAUUAU
rnacentral:pre_miRNA from 1 species